rnacentral:lncRNA from 1 species
CCAAGCAGACGCUUCCCUCUUCUCUCAUACCGCUUCGUCCUACUUCAGCUAGAUGGAAUCUUUCGUAAAGCCAUCCUGAAAGUAAGGUUGCAUAUAGAAUCUUCGACCUCCCGGUCCGAAGGAACGAUAGGACCGUCUACGUCAGAGAAAGAAGAUACUCCUCCCUUUUAUCGAUAAAGUAUACUAUUACUUCUGCCCUCGAAACAG